ACGCUAGCGAUAGGCUUAACACAUGCAAGUCGAGGGGCAGCAUUAUUUUAGCUUGCUAAGAUAGAUGGCGACCGGCGCACGGGUGCGUAACGCGUAUGCAACCUGCCUGUAAUUAGGGAAUAACCCGGUGAAAGUCGGACUAAUACCCUAUAUUCUUCUUUUUCCGCAUGGAGAAGGACGGAAAGAUUUAUUGAUUACAGAUGGGCAUGCGUCCCAUUAGCUGGUUGGUAAGGUAACGGCUUACCAGGGCAACGAUGGGUAGGGGGACUGAGAGGUUGACCCCCCACACUGGUACUGAGACACGGACCAGACUCCUACGGGAGGCAGCAGUGAGGAAUAUUGGUCAAUGGGCGAGAGCCUGAACCAGCCAAGUCGCGUGAAGGAUGACGGUUCUAUGGAUUGUAAACUUCUUUUGUAGAGGAAUAACGGCAGCUACGCGUAGCUGAGAUGCAUGUACUCUACGAAUAAGUAUCGGCUAACUCCGUGCCAGCAGCCGCGGUAAUACGGAGGAUACGAGCGUUAUCCGGAAUUAUUGGGUUUAAAGGGUGCGUAGGUGGCGUAUUAAGUCAGUGGUGAAAAGCUGCAGCUCAACUGUAGUCUUGCCGUUGAAACUGAUAUGCUAGAGAGGAGACGAGGUAUGCGGAAUGUGUGGUGUAGCGGUGAAAUGCAUAGAUAUCACACAGAACGCCGAUUGCGAAGGCAGCGUACCAGGCUCCGUCUGACACUGAAGCACGAAAGCGUGGGGAUCAAACAGGAUUAGAUACCCUGGUAGUCCACGCAGUAAACGAUGAAUACUAGAUUAUUGCGAUAUAGUGUAAGAGUCUAAGCGAAAGCGAUAAGUAUUCCACCUGGGGAGUACGCCGGCAACGGUGAAGCUCAAAGGAAUUGACGGGGGCCCGCACAAGCGGAG
rnacentral:rRNA from 1 species